rnacentral:rRNA from 1 species
GACGAACGCUGGCGGCGUGCUUAACACAUGCAAGUCGAACGAAGAGCGAUGGAAGCUUGCUUCUAUCAAUCUUAGUGGCGAACGGGUGAGUAACGCGUAAUCAACCUGCCCUUCAGAGGGGGACAACAGUUGGAAACGACUGCUAAUACCGCAUACGAUCCAAUCUCGGCAUCGAGGAUGGAUGAAAGGUGGCCUCUAUUUAUAAGCUAUCACUGAAGGAGGGGAUUGCGUCUGAUUAGCUAGUUGGAGGGGUAACGGCCCACCAAGGCGAUGAUCAGUAGCCGGUCUGAGAGGAUGAACGGCCACAUUGGGACUGAGACACGGCCCAGACUCCUACGGGAGGCAGCAGUGGGGAAUCUUCCGCAAUGGACGAAAGUCUGACGGAGCAACGCCGCGUGAGUGAUGACGGCCUUCGGGUUGUAAAGCUCUGUUAAUCGGGACGAAAGGCCUUCUUGCGAAUAGUUAGAAGGAUUGACGGUACCGGAAUAGAAAGCCACGCCUAACUACGUGCCAGCAGCAGCGGUAAUACGUAGGUGGCAAGCGUUGUCCGGAAUUAUUGGGCGUAAAGCGCGCGCAGGCGGAUUGCUCAGUCUGUCUUAGAAGUUCGGGGCUUAACCCCGUGAUGGGAUGGAAACUGCCAAUC